CAUAAACAUGCACAGACUCGUACACGACCCUGCCAAACGCCAUUCACCCGUUCUCAUGAGUUAUUGAGUAACGUGAAAAGUCACAGCUUACACUGCAUUUGCAUGCACUCUGAGUUUAACUACAGUUACUCGCGCCGUCCUGAGGUGGAGGCGAGGUGGGACAUUAUUCCCUAGAGUCAAGAGUUCUCUUAGCAACCAGCCAGACAUGCAAUUCACUGCACAAUCACAUCAGCACUUAAGACACAGCGGCACUCCUACACACGUCUGAGGCAAUAACACAUGGAUAACCACAAUGUCCUAGUUUCAUUUAGACAAUCAAGCAUUUCCCACGAACUGAACUUCAGAAGUAAAACAUGACAAGCAUACAACAUGAAGAGGAACGUCAUCGCCAGCUGUCAGAAUGCCAAACCACUCUUGGGUUUAAUGAGCUGGAAGUGGAUCGAUGAGCUCCCUGCGUCGAUCUCUGUGCUCCUGCCUGCACAUCACCAGCUCUGGGUUGACCUACCAUGUCGGGGCAAGCUGGGACAGACUGGAACCCUGCCAACACUGUUACAAUAACCUUGGAUACAAUUAUACGUGCAUGACACUGACUUGUGAUAAACUUGGACAGGAGCAUGCUGGGAUUAUGGACAAAGAAAGAACCUGCAGAUUUAAAAAUGGCAGGUGAUGAGAGUCGUUAAGAAAUCCUGUUUACAUUAGAAUGUGUAGUCGGUGGAGCUCAGACUUUCUCUUUUCAUUCAGUAAGUUACAUACUUUACUCUUUGUGGGGACACACAGGUGCAAUACUAUUAUACAUGGAUGUAGUCAGACUAUGCAGAUCUUUGGCCUUGUGGACUUCAUGAGUGAAGAAAAUUAAAAUGGAUGCCAGUGCUCUGAUGUCAGAGCUCCAGGAUUAAGAUCUUUACAACUUCGGGCUCACAAAAGCCUGGUGCCUCUCCUCUCGGAAUACAAAUGCCUGGUGCUGAUUUCACCUCCUCAUGCACAUACACACACACUGGAGCACAACAAAAACUUUGAUGCCUAACAUCUGUGAGUCACACUUUGAUAAAAGAAGCCCCAUCAAGCCCUUCAUCUUCCCACAUCACCAUGGCAGCAGUCAUAUCUGAAGACACCAACCUCCCGCUGACCUUCAUACGGUUGUCAAGGUUACGAUCGGAUUCACAGUUCAGGUGGAGACAGAGACAACAAUUCUUUAUCCACAUUUGAAAAGAUGAGUGCUACUGCAAAGUGGUUGUAUGCCUCCACUGAUCAAUGCAGUUUCAGUCUGAACAAGUUCUUUUUCCAGACUCAUGCAAAUGACAUGUUGACUUGAAAUUAAUUUAAUGUUCCACAGACCAAAAUCUAACCGUGACCUUUAAACAAAUAUUCCAAAAUCACACUCACGGGACAAUACAUACCUAUGACUAUCCCAUAACCUGCUACUAUUAACGCUGGAAAUAACAAGUGAUGUCUGACAUUGUUGGGUGCACUGUGCUUGAGCUCAGCGUUAACUGUGAUUUUUCAUGGCUAAUGCCUGUGCUGAGCUAUUUGCAUGAUGCGAUGUGAUUGGCUGAUGCUCAAGCGCUAGACUUCUGCCACACGCAUCGCGAGCAGGGGCGAAGCGAGGGACCCCACAACUCACACCGCUCCGAUCAAAUCGAAUAAGAAGCGCUGCAUUUGAUGCCUCCAUUGCAAAAAUAACUGAAACAGUAGAUAAAACAAAACAAGACCAAAGGUUAUUAGCAGGAGAUGGACAAACUGGCAGGCUGACUGUGUGUGUUUAUGUGUUCUAAUUCAAAAAACAACAGUUAGUACAGAGUAAAAGAAUGUGGUGUACGUGUCAAUCUGUGUAUGUCAGUAUAUUCUAGUAUUUAUUGAGAUGAACUGACAUAAUAAACACCAGCUGAAGAAUUUA